rnacentral:rRNA from 1 species
GACGAACGCUGGCGGCGUGCUUAACACAUGCAAGUCGAACGAAGAGCGAUGGAAGCUUGCUUCUAUCAAUCUUAGUGGCGAACGGGUGAGUAACGCGUAAUCAACCUGCCCUUCAGAGGGGGACAACAGUUGGAAACGACUGCUAAUACCGCAUACGAUCUAAUCUCGGCAUCGAGGAUAGAGGAAAGGUGGCAUCUACAUGUAAGCUAUCACUGAAGGAGGGGAUUGCGUCUGAUUAGCUAGUUGGAGGGGUAACGGCCCACCAAGGCGAUGAUCGGUAGCCGGUCUGAGAGGAUGAACGGCCACAUUGGGACUGAGACACGGCCCAGACUCCUACGGGAGGCAGCAGUGGGGAAUCUUCCGCAAUGGACGAAAGUCUGACGGAGCAACGCCGCGUGAGUGAUGACGGCCUUCGGGUUGUAAAGCUCUGUUAAUCGGGACGAAAGGCCUUCUUGCGAAUAGUGAGAAGGAUUGACGGUACCGGAAUAGAAAGCCACGGCUAACUACGUG